rnacentral:rRNA from 1 species
AUUGAACGCUGGCGGCAGGCCUAACACAUGCAAGUCGAGCGGAUGAAGGGAGCUUGCUCCUGGAUUCAGCGGCGGACGGGUGAGUAAUGCCUAGGAAUCUGCCUGGUAGUGGGGGAUAACGUCCGGAAACGGGCGCUAAUACCGCAUACGUCCUGCGGGAGAAAGUGGGGGAUCUUCGGACCUCACGCUAUCAGAUGAGCCUAGGUCGGAUUAGCUAGUUGGUGGGGUAAAGGCCUACCAAGGCGACGAUCCGUAACUGGUCUGAGAGGAUGAUCAGUCACACUGGAACUGAGACACGGUCCAGACUCCUACGGGAGGCAGCAGUGGGGAAUAUUGGACAAUGGGCGAAAGCCUGAUCCAGCCAUGCCGCGUGUGUGAAGAAGGUCUUCGGAUUGGAAAGCACUUUAAGGUGGGAGGAAGGGCAGUAAGUUAAUACCUUGCUGUUUUGACGUUACCAACAGAAUAAGCACCGGCUAACUUCGUG